UACGUAGGGUGCGAGCGUUAAUCGGAAUUACUGGGCGUAAAGCGUGCGCAGGCGGUUGUGCAAGACAGGUGUGAAAUCCCCGGGCUUAACCUGGGAAUGGCAUUUGGGACUGCAAGGCUCGAGUGCGGCAGAGGAGACUGGAAUUCCUGGUGUAGCAGUGAAAUGCGUAGAUAUCAGGAGGAACACCGAUGGCGAAGGCAGGUCUCUGGGCUGACACUGACGCUCAUGCACGAAAGCGUGGGGAGCAAACAGG
rnacentral:rRNA from 1 species